AGCCGCCGCGGUAAUACGGAGGGUGCAAGCGUUAAUCGGAAUUACUGGGCGUAAAGCGUGCGUAGGCGGUUUAUUAAGUCAGAUGUGAAAGCCCCGGGCUUAACCUGGGAACUGCAUUUGAAACUGGUCAACUAGAGUAUGGUAGAGGAAAGUGGAAUUUCUGGUGUAGCGGUGAAAUGCGUAGAUAUCAGAAGGAACAUCAAUGGCGAAGGCAGCUUUCUGGACCAAUACUGACGCUGAGGUACGAAAGCGUGGGUAGCAAACAGGAUUAGAUACCCUGGUAGUCCACGCCGUAAACGAUGAUAACUAGCCGUUGGGGGGAUUUACCCUUUAGUGGCGAAGCUAACGCGUUAAGUUAUCCGCCUGGGGAGUACGGCCGCAAGGUUAAAACUCAAAGGAAUUGACGGGGACCCGCACAAGCGGUGGAGCAUGUGGUUUAAUUCGAUGCAACGCGAAGAACCUUACCUGGUCUUGACAUCCUGCGAACUUUCUAGAAAUAGAUUGGUGCCUUCGGGAACGCAGUGACAGGUGCUGCAUGGCUGUCGUCAGCUCGUGUCGUGAGAUGUUGGGUUAAGUCCCGUAACGAGCGCAACCCCUAUCCUUAUUUGCCAGCACGUCAUGGUGGGAACUAUAAGGAGACUGCCGGUGAUAAACCGGAGGAAGGCGGGGACGACGUCAAGUCAUCAUGGCCCUUACGACCAGGGCUACACACGUGCUACAAUGGGAAGGACAAAGAGCCGCGAAGCCGCGAGGUGUAGCUAAUCUCAGAAACCUUUUCGUAGUCCGGAUUGGAGUCUGCAACUCGACUCCAUGAAGUCGGAAUCGCUAGUAAUCGUAGAUCAGAAUGCUACGGUGAAUACGUUCCCGGGUCUUGCACACACCGCCGGU
rnacentral:rRNA from 1 species